AUGUUAGUGCUCUGCUCUGCAAAAAUCAUCUCUUCCUCUUCUCAUCAUACUACAAAUGUAGUGGUUAGUUGCCAUCUAGCAGGAAUUAUAUCAUUUGGAAGUUGUAUUGAGCAUGUUGGUGACAAAAUACACCACCAUAAUUUGUAUCUUUGUGGUUGGAAGCAUGCCUUUUUUAUAUUCAAUACGCUGUUUAGUCGGCCCAGUUUAGUUAAUUGUGCAACUAAAUGGCGAUUUCAUACAUUUCGAUUGAUCUUUGUCUGUGUGAGCAAAAUAUUGGUCCUAAUGAAUCUUGUGAAUCCUGUGUAUUUUCUCUGA
rnacentral:rRNA from 1 species